rnacentral:lncRNA from 1 species
CCCAUUCUAUAGGCCCUAUAUCUGCGGCCCUAUCUGCCUUCUACUGCUUAAACUAUGUAUUAGCCAAAUCUUGCAAUAGAUAUGAAGCUAACUCAACGCUCUCACUAGUGGUUACCCCCAUAUUAUGUAUGACUUUCUGCACCAUUUCAAGGAAUUCCUAUGGAUCCUCUUUAGUCUUAGACCUCUAAAAUGAUAUAGGAUUCAUUCGGAUGAAGUCCCAAAUUCUAGCUGCAGUAGUAU